CCAUUCAAGAAUAAAGUUGCCCCCCUAUGUGUUGCAUGAAACAGAGCUUUAGAUGAGCAUGUAUAAUGGCCUAUAGGUGAUUUCACUG